AUGAGCGGGGCCGGCGCGGCGCUGGCCUUGCCGGCAUUGGGCCUCUGCGGGGAGGACGGGAGGGCGGAGUGGCUGCGCUUCUACGAUCAGGUGGAGGCGCAGGUGGCGGCGCUGGUCGCCGACCGCCCGCAUCUACAUGCGACGAGGGGUGAGAGGGAGGAGGCCUGCAGGGCGAUACUUCUGGGGGGCAAGGACACGCUCGCCGAACUCCAAGAGGGUGAUCUGGAGGAUGUCAGAGCUUGUAGAGGUCUUCUUGCCCUACCAAGCACUGAAUCUAAGCCGAAGGAAGUUCAAGAUCAUCUAGAGCUUGGUGAAGACACCGGGGAUCAUGAGCACAGUGUAAAAGCGUUGAGAGCAAACCUUAGAAAACUGAAGGGAACUUUUGAGACCCUGAUGUCAAACAAGGAUAAGGAUAUUUAUUCAGUAAAAGUUGUCCUUUUGAACCAGUUGAAGACAAUGGAAAAGAACAGCACGCUCUUUGAGAACAAGAAACUAGAGGCAGCACAAGCUACUGAAGAAGUGCAGAAGCUUCAGCGGAACGUACAGGAGCUGCGCGUCGCAACCCAAAACAAGGACAAUGAGAUUGGCAGACUCCAUGCAGAAGCUCUCAUGGCUCAACAGAAGCUACAUGAAAUGGAUUCCUUGCUGAAGGAGAAAGAUGAAAGUAUUGAAAAGCUCCAUGCGGAAAACAUUGGAUUACGUGCUGUAAAGGAUUUUGUUUGGAGCCAGUUCCGGAUAAAGGAGCAGGAGCUGUUGGACCACGCCAUGCUUCUUAAGAACGAGUUAGUGGCGGCAGCACAAGCUACUGAAGCAGUGCAAAAGCUAGUAAAGGAAAAUCGCACAAUGGAGGCAGAAAUUGUUGAUUAUGGAAACAAGUUAUUGAUUCUAGAGGAUAAGCUAAAGGAGACGCGCUCCUUGGUGAAGGAGAAAGAUGAAGAAAUCCAAGAACUCAGAAAUCGCCAACCUGAGAUCACGAGUCUGAAGCGCAAGUGCGCCUCUUCCUUGUCAAAUGAGACUAGUAAAAGGCGCAGGAGGGAUAUCAUUGGGAUGCAUAUAUCUUCUAUUUGGCGAUGCAGGUCCGGCAGACAGUGUUUUGGACGUCGCACAGUGAGUCUCCCUUCACUCAACAUUUCCCACCCCAACUCCAUCUUUACACUGUGCACGCCAGAUCUACAUUCUUGUUGCUAA
rnacentral:rRNA from 1 species